rnacentral:misc_RNA from 1 species
UGACUGGAUCGUGACAAAAU